UUAGAUUAAUGAAAAUUUCAUUCGCAACGACAGACAGACAGACAGUCGAAGAAAGGGCAAGUAAAAACCGAUUUUAAUCGUUGAAUCUGUAAAGUUUUUUGAUUUUUCCGGUGAGACCGUCGUUUUUUCCGAUCACCGUCAGAAGGAGAUGGGAUCUUCGAUUUCUUAGUGUCUGAGUAUAAAUUCAGCGGAGAAAGAAGAAGAAGAGGGUUUUCUCUUAGGAGAUGGACUCGGAAGAAACCGAAACGGCGUCGUCUGUGACGAAGAGAAAGAAGAAGAAGAAGAGGGUUUUCUCUUCGUUGGCUUUGAGAUUCUGUACAGCGAUCGUUUUCUCCAUCAUCGGCUUCUUCUUCUUGUCGUUUCUCUUAGGGAUCUUAGUGAUUCUACUCGGCGAAUUGUGGGUUUCUUCUUCUUCUUCUUCCUCUGCCUCUCUUGCUUCUCGCUGCAGAAUUCUCUCCAGCUCGGUUGAUCUAAGGUCUUCCAAAGUGUGCGGGAUUGGACUUUGAACAUCAAAGCACAACAUGUGUUUUACCCUUUUGAGAGAGAUAAAUUCAGAUGUCGCUACGAUUACUACUGGGCUUCUGUCUUCAAGGUUGAGUAUACAGAUCACUUGAUGGGUCAAACAAGGCUAGCUUUCUCUGAAGCACCUAACGAAGCCCUUCCUCCUGAGUGCAGACCUAACUUUGGUGCCGCUUUGCUCACCAAAGAUAAAUACAAGGUGAAUGAAACUUAUGACUGCUGGUAUACACUAGGGAUUCCAAAGAUCAAGCUUUAUCAAGAUGGCUUUUUCGGUUGCCAACCAGAUGAUCUUUCUUUUACCCACAUUUUUAAACAAUACGCUGUCUUAUUCUCUAAAUUGUUACAAUCGUGGUUAAGUGUAAAUGGAAGACGGAAGUACUGGAGAUAUGAUGUGAUCGCUGGCAUUGUAUCUGGCUUCUCAACCUCCAUUAUCACGGUCUUCAUCGUACGGAUCUUGAGACAUGCGAAAUCUUGGUUCCCUCGAGCUUGUUGUUCAGUUAGAAGCCAGCUUUCUAAAGUGAACCUCUUGGUGCAAGUGAAGCGUGCUUGUUUGGUUCUUGUUUACUUCUCCAUCCUCGGGUGGAUGGCUACACAAUACUUGAAAAUUCUUUUUCCUAAGGCUUAGAGAAAAAAAAAAGAAACACAUUCCUUGAGAGAGAGAGAGAGUGAGAGAGUUGUUGAGUAUGUAAUGAUUCGUAGAGAGUUGUGUGAUGUAAUCUUAAAUUAUUUACAGCAAAAGAAAGCAAUUCAGAGAACAA